rnacentral:rRNA from 1 species
UAAUACGUAGGGGGCAAGCGUUGUCCGGAUUUAUUGGGCGUAAAGCGCACGCAGGCGGUUUUCGAAGUUUCGAGUGACAGGUGGGAGCUCAACUCCCGCAGGCCUCGGAAAACUGGAAGACUUGAGAGUGAGAGAGGGAUGCGGAAUUCCAGGUGGAGCGGUGAAAUGCGUAGAGAUCUGGAAGAACACCAAAGGCGAAGGCAGCAUCCUGGCUCAUAUCUGACGCUCAUGUGCGAAAGCUAGGGGAGCGAACGGGAUUAGAUACCCCGGUAGUCCUAGCCGUAAACGAUGACCACUAGACGUAGGGGGUAUCGACCCCCUCUGUGUCGAAGCUAACGCGAGAAGUGGUCCGCCUGGGGAGUACGGUCGCAAGAUUA